UGAAGCCACAUCCAUCUGACUGCAAUGCUUCCUAUCACCCUACACUGACCACUUGGAUCACUGGAUCCUUGCCCAUCACCACCCAAUCUGUCCCCGCGUGGCACUCACUGCACUCUCAGAUCUCCCUGGCCUGCAACUCACAUCUUCCCCCUCAAAGCCACAGUCACAGUAGCCCUAGGCCUCCAGUUCCCUGUGCUAUCCACUCUGGGAACCAGGCAGGAAUGGGCGGGGAAGCGGUACAGGAAAAUCCAGGACGGAAGGAGCAGAGCUGAGAACAGAGCCCGGCCUCCCCACUGCCACAAGGGGAAGGUGAGGCAUCCUCUACUCCAGGGGUGGGUCAUCGCUGGAAGGUGCUGCAAAGCUCCUAUGAAAUCAGCAAGAGUGUAGGCAGCAAGGACACUAUUUGUCUACGCCUAAAAUGCAGUGAAUAAGACUUUAGAAUUUGAUCCAAGUACUACAGCGAUACAAGGCCUUUGAUUUAGAAUGUGUUCUCUUAAAAAGUCUCCAAGGGAGUCUGUUGCUGAACCGAAUUCAAUUUUAAAACGCCGUGAAGGGAGGGAAGAACCAAGUACAGGGCUCAAUCACGUAAAAAGUCUAAAGAAUUAUGUCAUUAGCAAUCUUUAACCUCUGAAAAGCGCCACAGAAAUGUAGAGCACGUCUUCCUAAUGGAACCGAGAAAUUUUAUGCUGACAGGUGGAGGGGCUUAUGGGACAGCGGGCCGGUGGCCAAAGAAGAUUCCAGCGGAAUACAGUCAGGAGGCCGACUUUAAAACUCCGAUCCUCCGGGAAGGCCACGCGGAGCACGGCCCCUAAAUUAUUCCACUGAAUUUUUGAAGCAACUCUAUCAGAAGACCCAAGAGUCCCCACCCGGUGGAUAUCGCCCCUGAGUUUUGGUACGUGAUCAUAGAGAAGAAAAGCCUCCACUCAGGUCUGCGGCUACUGGUAAAAAUUAACGUAAGCAGGGCCUGAAGAGGAUAGUGCUUGACGGGGAUGCGCCAGGGACCUUCUAGAAUCUGCUCCUCUGGGCAACAUUUCUUUCAGUUGUGUUCUCUGCAACAUGGGUGUUUAUCAAAAUGCCAACACGUGCUACAAGAACAAUCAAUGCUAGUGGUAUUUUGUUCCUAAUAAAAUUAACAAUGUCAUUUCCCCUUCAUUUGCUUUUUUGGUUCUGUAAUGAAGUGCUUUUUAAGCAUAGAAUCAAAUUUUGACCAUUUCCUCAGCACAUGACCUGUGAGACCACUGUUUUUACUUCUGAGCUGGAAUGUUUUGUCUACCCAGCAGCCUCCCUUCUCCUGAGAACCUCAC
rnacentral:lncRNA from 10 species